rnacentral:rRNA from 1 species
AGUGAACGCUGGCGGUAGGCCUAACACAUGCAAGUCGAACGGCAGCACAGUAAGAGCUUGCUCUUACGGGUGGCGAGUGGCGGACGGGUGAGGAAUACAUCGGAAUCUACUUUUUCGUGGGGGAUAACGUAGGGAAACUUACGCUAAUACAGCAUACGACCUACGGGUGAAAGCAGGGGAUCUUCGGACCUUGCGCGAUUGAAUGAGCCGAUGUCGGAUUAGCUAGUUGGCGGGGUAAAGGCCCACCAAGGCGACGAUCCGUAGCUGGUCUGAGAGGAUGAUCAGCCACACUGGAACUGAGACACGGUCCAGACUCCUACGGGAGGCAGCAGUGGGGAAUAUUGGACAAUGGGCGCAAGCCUGAUCCAGCCAUACCGCGUGGGUGAAGAAGGCCUUCGGAUUGUAAAGCCCUUUUGUUGGGAAAGAAAAGCAGCAGGUUAAUACCCCGCUGUUCUGACGGUACCCAAAGAAUAAGCACCGGCUAACUUCGUG